UGAGAAAAAGACCAUAACAGGAAAAUACUGUUAAAGACUUGUGAAAUUUAAAAGCUAAGAAGAGAAAGGACACAGGAGCCAACUGAAAGAGUUCCCAAUGGCCAAAGCUGGGACAAGUUGGGUAAGUAACAUUAAAUUAUAGCCUGAAGUAUAAAAUAGUUAUCCACGAAUCCACACUGCUAUAAAUGAAUAAAUAAAUAAGUAGGGAGAAAGAAACAAAAUCCACGCAGAAUUCCUAAUUAUUUAUGGAGAUGUUGCACCUGAUAAAAGGUAGAACAUAGCUACCCAUUCCUUACAUAUGAGCUAUGCAUAGUGACGUCAUCCUGAAGAAUAUAAUAUGGAAAAGAGGAUUGGGGGAUUAACUUUAUAGUAGAGAAACCCUGACAAAUACUGCCUCAGGCAGGUAGUGAAGGUCAAUAUCAACAGUGGAAGUCGUGUUGGCAGUAUGUACCCUUGACAAGAUGUGAUGAAAG
rnacentral:lncRNA from 1 species